UGGGGAAUAUUGCGCAAUGGGCGAAAGCCUGACGCAGCAACACCGCGUGAGGGAUGACGGCCUUCGGGUUGUAAACCUCUUUCAGCUCCGACGAAGCGAAAGUGACGGUAGGAGCAGAAGAAGCACCGGCUAACUACGUGCCAGCAGCCGCGGUAAUACGUAGGGUGCAAGCGUUGUCCGGAAUUAUUGGGCGUAAAGAGCUCGUAGGCGGUCCGUUGCGUCUGCCGUGAAAACCCGGAGCUCAACUCCGGGCCUGCGGUGGAUACGGGCGGACUAGAGUCCGGUAGGGGAGACUGGAAUUCCUGGUGUAGCGGUGGAAUGCGCAGAUAUCAGGAGGAACACCGGUGGCGAAGGCGGGUCUCUGGGCCGGAACUGACGCUGAGGAGCGAAAGCGUGGGGUAGCAAAAGCAGGAUUAGAUACCCUGGUAGUCCAUGCCGUAAACGUUGGGCACUAGGUGUGGGUCUCAACCAACGAGAUCCGCGCCGUCGCUAACGCAUUAAGUGCCCCGCCUGGGGAGUACGGUCGCAAGACUAAAACUCAAAUGAAUUG
rnacentral:rRNA from 1 species